UUUUUUUGGGGUUAUAAUGAUGACCCAUGCUUAUCUCCUUUAUGCACUGAGCAGUUCUACGAGAAAGUAUUCAGACAGAGAUGGCGUGAAUUGUUCAACCAAACAAGUGGAGAAAAAGCCACAUUUAUCAGCUCCAAACCUUUUUGAAACCCAUAUAUAAACGCUCAGAGGAGAAUUAAGAGAAGCAAAUCAUCCAACUUCCCAAGUUCUGCAACAAAGUAUUUCCACAGACAUCAAAACCAUAUUCAUCAGCUCACAAAUCAAACAAACCAGAAUGAAGGAAUGGAUACAUGAGGAUCUAGGACACGAAAAUCUCGCAAUCCACCCUCACCGAAAACUACCCAAGAGAAUCAUCCUAAUGAGGCACGGCGAAAGCCAGGGCAACUUGGACAUGUCAGCAUACACAAAUACACCAGACAAUCGAAUCCCACUAACUCCUUUAGGCAUCAAACAAGCUCACGCCGCAGGCCAAAAGAUUCGCAGUGUGAUAUCAGGAAUCAAUGAAAAGGUGUACUUCUAUGUGUCGCCUUACGAGAGGACGCGGGCGACGUUAAGAGAAUUGGGGAGGGCAUUUGGGAGGAAAAGGAUAAUUGGGGUGAGAGAGGAGUGUAGGAUAAGGGAGCAGGAUUUCGGGAACUUUCAGGUGGAGGAGAGGAUGAGGGCUGUGAAGGAGACGAGGGAGAGGUUUGGGAGGUUUUUCUUUCGGUUUCCAGAGGGGGAGUCUGCUGCUGAUGUCUUUGAUCGGGUUUCCAGCUUCAUGGAGUCUCUAUGGAGGGACAUCGACAUGAAAAGGCUACACCAAGAUGACACCAAUGACACUAACCUCAUAAUAAUCUCCCACGGUCUCACUUCCCGGGUGUUCUUAAUGAAAUGGUUCAAGUGGACAGUAGACCAAUUCGAGAGGCUCAACAAUCUCGGCAACUGCGAGUUCAGGGUCAUGGAGUUGGGUCCCGCAGGAGAGUACUCGCUUGCAAUUCAUCACACCAAGGAGGAGAUGGAGCAGUGGGGAUUGUCGCCUGAUAUGAUCGCUGAUCAGCAAUGGCGAGCAAGCGAUCAUAGGAACAGAGACUGGAGUGAGCUUUCGUGCUCUUAUCUUAGUUCAUUUUUUGAUGGUCUGCAUGAUUCAGAGGAGGAUAUAGAUGAACAGUAGAGCUAGAAUGACACUUCUGAGAGUUGUUCCUUGUGAUGUAUUCUUGUGUUUUGAUUGAAAUCAUGGAUCCUAUCAAAACACUCUGCACAGGCACACCGUGUGGGACGUUCUGAGGCACAAAGAUGGGAAACAGGGGCUUUAAGUGGAUUACAACUUAGAAAAUGAAGAUUGUCGCAUAACGAAGAUAAACAAACACUUGGCGUGCAAUGAGAAUACGUUUCCAGCAAUAAAUAUUGUAAAUCCAACUGUUUCUAACCACUAACCAAACAUUUGGAUGAAUUGGAAACUCGUUUCACAAUAAAAUGUAAAUAUCCAAAUGACGGCUUUGAGAUUAGUUUCCCAUAACAGAUAUUGCAUGCAAUCUGCAUACAACAGUUUCAAUUGCAGCAUACGUCAAACUUUUAAGAUAAAUCUGCAGCAUCACUUUUAACAAAACAAACGUUGCAAGUCACACUGUUGCAAUACAACUUAACAACGCAACCAAAACAGCGAAGAUGCACAAC